rnacentral:lncRNA from 1 species
CCUUGGUAGAUAGGGGUGUUAUAUAGUCCUAUGUGAUUUGUGAGACCGAGUUUAGAAGACCUUGGCUAGAACAGAGUAAAUAGCGAAAAAAGGUUUCCAAUAUUAGAAACUCGAGUCGAAUAAAUUUAAUAUAUGACAGACCAUGGGGUUUGACGAGUUAUUACAUAACCUCCGUCUAGUCGGGACUCAUGAUAGAAGGAUUGUAUCACACGGUAACUGCACCAAGAGGUUCAGUAUUCUAUUCUACUGGAAUGCCACUACAUGCUGCUAGGGUCACUGGUGGAUUGUGAGACUUAUCAGAAUUAUCUAAAUGAUCGAUAAUUCUCAUUGGGCUGAGUUGGAAUUGUUCCGAUCCACUGAAAGGAGUUUCAGUGAUAUUGUUGAUAGUGAUUAAAAUAUAUCUCACUACCAGAUAGAAUAGAACCUAUGGGGUCACACACAUAAGAGAUUGUGAUUGAUCGGAUAACUAGAUCACGAUUAUUGAAUCGCUAGAGGACCUAAUUGUCAAUAUGAUGAUAAUUGGACUAAUUUAUAAUUGUUACAAAUUAGCAGCAUUAAAGUGUAAAUGUUAUUAGAGAGGACUUACUAAUAGUUAGUAAAUUAUAAAAGAACUUAUGUGCAAAUGUUGCAUUAUUAAUUUGAUAUGAUCAGAUUAAGAUAAACUUUAAGUCGAAUCAAAUUAGGAUUUGAUCGAUCUAACCAAUUAAGGAAAGGAUAAAUUUAAAUCUAGAUUUGUAGUUAUCCUUAAUUGUCAUUAUAUUAUUAGAAAAAGAAUUAUAUUUCUCUAUAUAAUAUACGGGAGUUUUAGAAAGCUCUAACCGUCAUCUCUCUUCUCCUCUCUCUUCCAUCUUCUAGCAAGAAGGACGUCCUUUCCAAGGAAGCUAGCACCCAGUGAGGACAUCGGUCAAAUCAGCAACCUCGUGUGGAUACCUAUAGAGACCAGACGCGUGUGCGGCUUCAAGAGAACUCAAUUCCAUGAUCAUCAAAUUGGGGUGAAAAUCUAUCUGCGCAAAAGGUAAAGAUUCAAUCUUGCUUUUCUCUUUUAAUCUUAAAGAACAUGAGGGAUCCUAAUUGCGUGUUUUUGAGAUUGGAUCUCGAGAGUUUUCAAAAUCAAAUUUGUUUGAUUUUUUUUUCCGCUACGUUUUAUCAUACGCAAUUUUCUAAUAGCCUCUCGACAAUAGUAUUUAAAAUUUAAACAAACUAUUUUGACUUUGGUUUUAAGGAAAACAUUGUUGAUCAAUGUAUUAUCUAAAAGUUAGUGGGAGUAAGAUAAUUUUCUUAGUCUUUUAUGUUGAUGAUAUUUUGGGCUAUUACAUAACACUAAAGAAAAAAUUUCUUUUCAAAAUUUUGAAAUGAAAGAUUUAGGUGAGGCCUCAUAUGUUCUUGGUAUUGAAAUAAAAAAGGAUAGACAUAAAGUUUUACUUGGUCUAUCUCAAAAGGCCUACAUAAAGAAAGUUUUAAAAAAUUUUGAAAUGCAUAAUGGUAAGCCUAGUGUUGCUCAUGUCCGGAAAGGGGAUAAGCUUAAUGAUUUUUAGUGUCAUAAGAACCAAUUAGAAAUUGAACAAAUGAAAAACAUAUCCUAUACCUCUACAAUUGGUAGCCUUGUGUAUGCACAAAUGUGCACACGUCCGGAUAUUGCUUUUGCUGUUGGUUUACUUAGCAGGUAUUAAAGUAAUUCAGGUAUGAAGUAUUAGAAGGCUGCUAAGAAGGUUUUGAGCUAUUUGAAGGGAAUUUUGAAUCAUAUUGCAUGUUACGAGACCACAUCAGAGGUUAUUUGGCUUAGGAAUUUUAUCACAGACUUAAGAAUUAUGGACUCCAGUGCUCGUCCAAUAAAAAUUUCUGUGAUAGUUCAGCUGUGGUUUCCUUUGCCAAUAACAAUAAGAUUAUAGCGGGGUAUAAACACUUAGACACCAAAUAUCUUGUUGUGAGAGAGAAGAUAGAGAAAUGCUAUUUUAUAAUUGAGUACAUCAGUACCAAGUGUAUGGUUGCAAACCCAAUGAUCAAGGGGCUGGUACCUGAGUCAUAUACAGAUCGUGUUAGAAGUAUGGGUUUGAUUAGUUCUUUUGAGGUAGAAAGUUGUAAUAUCUAUCUUUUUUCAAUAAAGUUAAAAUUUAAUGCAGCUGUGCUGGACCAUUUGAUAGACAUAAAGUUUUGUCUAUUAACGAAUGGAUAUAUAGUUUUAAGUUCAUUUAUAAAGUUGUGUCAUAUAAAGUACUCGACUAGGAGAUGAAGAUGAUAUGGUAAUUAUGGAUAAAAAAUUUCAAUAUGUAGAGAUGGACCGCCAUAGUUCCUAUCAUUGUAGUUUUUUUAAUUUGAGCUAAAGAUCAAGUAAGUUCUAAGAUAUUUGACCAUAAAGUUUCCAAUAAUACGCAAUAAAGUUUGGAAUAUAGAAAAUCCGUUCAUGGAAUAUAAUUAAUAUGAGACAAGUGGGAGAUUGUUAGGAUUUCUAUAUAUUGUGGCCCAAUUAAUCAUAUUCAAAUCUAGAUUUAUUAUAAAUAAAAGUCAAUUCUAAUAGAUAUAGAACUACUUGAUAUGGUAUAGUUUAUCCAUAUCCCAUCUAUUUUAAAUUUAAAUAGAAUGCUAAUCAGACUUUGAUGGGAAGUCGAUCCGGACUCUAUAUAAAAGGAUAUUGGUCCUGCCACCUUCUCAUACACAUUCUGGUGAAGAGUUAUCAUCAGUUCCGCACCAUACGGUAGAGUGCCUGAGAUAGGAGAAGAAAUCAAAUUACCCAAGUUCGAUUCAUGAUUUUCAGAUCAUAGUCGAACUUCUUGCUUCCGCAAAUUGAUAAAGAAUUUCUUCUCUAUGGCGCUCUGUGAGUUAUUUUAUUUUAUUUUGAUCCUGAAUUUUGGUAUAUAUUUAAUUUGCUUCGUAUUUUACAUACCUUAAAAUUCUAUCAUCCCCUUGAUUGGAGGAUUCUCUAAAUAUUUGUUUAUUGAAAAAAAAUUUUGUUUGAACUUAUUUCAUCAUAUUUUUUUCUGACCACCUAACAAUAUACUUUUUAUUUUAUUAUUUUAUAUUCUCAAUACCAGAAAAAAAUUGUUUUUUUAAGUUAAAUUUAUUGUGUAGUAGUGAUUUGAAGAAUAAUGAAAAGAAAGAUAUAAGGUUUAGAGAUCUACAAAAUCAGCGCAUAGUUCAACAAGGUGCCACGAAGAAACAGAUGGGCUUGAAAUUUAUGAUCUUAAAUUGAAACAAAUUGAAGAUCAAUGCAGUGCACCGUAUUCCACCAGAACGAUUCCAAUGCAGAAUCCUUUGUCCUAAUUAUUUGGAAAGAGAAAUAUCAAGAAGUGGGACUCAUGUUACGGUGCAGAGUAGUUGUGUACGUACUGAAUUGGGGGUCGGCGUCCGCUAAGUAUGAGGUCCACUCGUAAUUAAUGGAGAAACGUACACAAACAGUGGAUGACGAGUAUUGCUAUUGAGUAGUUAAUGCUCUGUUCUCUCAGAGGAAUUCUACACUGUCACACUUGCACCACGUCAUCAAUAACAAGCCAAUCACAUUCCUUCUUUUCAAACAAAAGUACAAUAAAAAUACUUUUUUACAAUCAUGAUGGGACAUAUAUUCUUAAAAGGAUUAAUUUGAUUGGUUUGUUACGCCACGUCACUAAUAUACCCGUUGCAUUCUAGAAUUUUUCGUUCUCUCAUCAGUUUCCUUGUGAGGAGUACAGCGUAUUACCGCAAACCGAUGAUCGCAUUCGUCAUCGUAGAGCACAGAGGGGUAAAGUGGGGCCCUCCACCUUUAUUCAGUUGCGGAUAUAGUUGGUACGUAGCCUCUGUUGCUGCACAUGAGGAGAGUGAUAUAUAUAUGGAUGAGAAAUUAUUGCCUAAAUCCAGUGCAUAUAAAGAAAUAUCAUGUUCCCUAUUCUUUAUCUGCCCUUCAUCUUAUCGUGCACUUCAAAUCCCAUCAUCCUAUUUUUUUCCAGUAUUAAGCUUAUUCGCGGGUCGUUUCAUAUUUAGUUAAUAAUUUAUAUUAUAUAAUAUUAUUAGGAGCCGAAUUUCUCAACUUUUGAUCCUGUCAAAGAUCUCUCUAGAAAAACGUGUAGGGAUUAGGUACAGCUUCACGUGGUGACCCUUGAAGUUCGCGCCCUCCGACAGAUCAAACGAUUCGACUGAUUAGGGAUCGGAUCAGCCGGGUUCAAAGAUUUUUACUGCAAAAUUGGUUCGGCUGAAGGAGCUGAAUAUACGGAAUGCACAGUAAUUUGGGUCGGCUGAAAAACCGAAAUGUCUUUAUAUAUUGAAAUUGGAUUUGAAAAUUUGUACAAAAGAGAGUGUGCCUAUGCGGCAUACAAACUUCAGAACUCUAACUUAAAACUACUUCUAAGAAAGACAGUAAAUUGGGAAAGAAAAAGUUUACAUGUUCGACUAUUCCUAGGAAUGUAAGGGAAAUGCGUAGAAAUUGAAAAGUGGUCUUCUAUUCGGAGGAAAAAGACCCCUCCUUCAAACGUUACUCGCCUAUUUAUAUUCCGCUUAUUAUUGUUCAGUUAUGUACACGAUCGGCCACUUUUCUCUUUUCGUGGGCCCACUACAAGCCGAUCCUAACUGGUUAAAAUUGCUUGCGAUUAUGCUGCUAUUCCUUUUUACUCCCGGUGCACAAAAACUCAUUUAAUCUUGGCUUUUAAGACUUCCGAUUAAAUCUUGCACCGAUCUGCCAUGUAGCAUUUUAUUAUUAGCCCUAACAAAUAUCAAUGUUGUUUUUAAGUACUCUUUGUUUUGGUAGGCACUUAUAUAGGACAAUCAAAGUUAAAUAUAGGAUGACACAGGGCUGCUGGACGGCGGUGCAUUGGGACCACGGAUACAUUCCGUAAAAACAUUUUUACGUUGUUGGUUUGGUAAUUUCAGAAUGGUGGUGGUACUAUAGCAAAAAGAGAGAGAGCGAGAGAGAGAGAGAGAGGGAGAGAGAGAUCCGUACAAACAUUUUUACGUUGUUGGUUUGGUAAUUUCAGAAUGGUGGUGGUACUAUAGCAAAGAGAGAGAGAGAGAGAGAGAGAGAGAGAGAUUCUCAAUAUAGUUUGUGGCGAUCCCACGUCUUUGUAUUUGACCGUUGUUAGUGUGAAUUUUGGGACCAAAUAUUACUAGCAACUGAUGUCAAAAUCUGUAAUUUGAAUGGUUUUUCAGUUACUAGCUAGUCUAAACAGCAUGAAAAAUGGUUAUGAAAGAACGAUAUGGACUUGUGCACCUGCAAGAGUAUUUUCUGAGUGUUACAAAUUCCAUCUUUUUCUCUAUGGUCCUACUUGGAAAGACGAUCAUCUUGUUUUGCAUAUUUCUUUUAUUUAUUCGAGAAAGUUAUGACAGUUCAACGUUAGAGGAUUAUGAUUAUUUGUCUUGAAAGAAUAUUAUAUUCGCCUGCUAAGUUAUCUUUUUAUAAAAAAUAAAAAAAAAAUCCUAAGGUAAGAUAUACUACUUUAACAAAUUAUGACCGUCAAAGCUAUAAAAUAAUAAAAUCAAACUUGCACCUUGUGAUUAUAGAUAAAAAUUAAAAAGUAUUAGAAAAUAGGGUUAAUUUCAUACAUGCCCUUGCAAACAUAGUGAAUAGUAAAUAUAUUUCUAUAAAGUUCAGUUUUCAUAUAUUGUUCCUACAAAAGUCCAGAUAUUUUUAAAUAUAUCUCUCUGAUUUGUUAUCGUUAGAGAACCAUUAGAAAACUGUUUAUCUUUUCAAUUUUACCAUCACAAAUAUAUCCCUCCAAAAAUCAUAACAGUAUAAUAUAAGAGAAGCAGGAUUAAGUAUUUAACCUAUGGUUAACUAAAUUUUUUUAAUAGAUUUUAACGACAGGAAUAUAUUUGAAAACAUUAGGACUUUUGUAGGGAUAAUAUAUGAAAAUUGAACUUUAUAAGAAUAUAUUUGUCAUUCACUAUAUUUAUAGAGACCUGUAUGAGAUUAAUCCUAAAAAAUAUAUAUGAUACAAGUUAUUAUUAAAAAGUAAAUUAUUACGGCAUCCAAAACAUGCCUUGCAUUAACUACAUUCACAAUGCCCUCGAGCCAAAUCUAAUAGUAACCAAAAUAAAUAGCACCCAUUUGUAGUUUUGCUACAACAAUAGUGCAACCACACUUGAUGUAGUUCCUGUGCAAAAAGCUAUCUAUACGCAUAUGAGUAGGCGUAACAUUUACAAUCCAGCCAUUCUAGAAUAUAUAUUUAGUUACUAAUUAUUAAUUUUAAAACAAGAGUAUUAUACUAGUUUUGUUUGACCUCUCUAGUAAUUUCAUUUUAGCUCCAUCUUGGCUCUUGCGGGUUUGUUUUGUUUUUUUUUUUUUUUUUUUUUUUAAAAGUUGGUAAAACUGGUAAGAAAAUAAUAAACUUUGAAUCCGAGUGUAAGAUUCACACCCUGUAAAUUGUUGCACAGAUAGGAUUGCUCAUUUCCCUCCGACUUCGAUAUUAUUCCUCGUCAUCUUGUAUUUCGUUCUAAUUUCAUGGUGUGAGUACGUCGCCCUCAAUGACGUUAUAUAUGGGUCAUGGCACCGGUCCAAUAAAAAACACAAUAACAAAUUAUUAGUUAUAAUGGUUUGUAAUGAAAUAAAAAGUGAGAUACGCUAUUAGAAACAGAAGUAGCAUAUUCUACUGAUACGAACUUUCUUUAUAUCUAUAAAAACUGUGGCCUUUCACUUCUAGAUAGAUAGUCACAAAAGUGUACUAGAUAAUUAACAUUGUGCUGCACAUUCUUUUUUUUUUUUUUUAAUUUUGAUCAGCAACAGUUCACAACCUAUACCUAUAACAUUAAUUACUUCUCAUAAAUUCGUCACGUCGCACCAUUGUGUGUGGGCUCCACAUCGAACCGGCUCAAAUUCUUCACAUAUUUUUUUUCUUUUUUUGUUUGAACCGAACGAGAUUUUUCUUUUUUCCUUUGCUUGAAACCGAACUGGAUCACAUUUGCUGAAUUGGGCUGAAGCGGCCCAACUGCUCCACAUGUUUGCAUAUUUCUUUACCUAUACAUUUCUUCUCAUAAAUUUGCCACGUAGCAGUGUUUCCUUUAUUGUUGAGUGUGGGUUUCUCCUCGAAUCGGCUAAAGCCUCCGUAUAUUUCUCUCGUUCUUUGCUCGAACCGAACUUGGUUUCCCUCUUUCUUUGCUUGAACCAAACUAGGUCACACCUUCUGCAUUGGAUCGAACAGGCCCAACUAUUGCACAUGUUUCCAUAUUUCUUUAAUUAAACCGAUUAUUAUUGAGUAUAGACUCCACUCCAAAUUGGCUCAAGCCCUCCACAUGUUUCCCUUUUCUUUUUUUGCUUGAACCAAAGUGGCUUUCCCUCUUUCUUCGCUUUAACUGAACCAGGUCACACCUGCUGCAUUGAGCGGAACCCUUCUAACUGCUCUCAAGCCCUCUAUAUGCUUUCCUCUUUCAUUACUUAAAUCGAACUGGGUUUCCUACUUUCUGUGCUUGAACUAAACUGGAUCACAACUUCCGCGUUGGGCCAAAUAGGCCCAACUACAUCACAUGUUUCUAUCUUUCUUUCCUUGAACCUGUCUUUCUUGAGUGUAGGCUCCACCCUGUACCGGCUUAAGUCCUCCAUAUAUUUACCCUUUUCUUUGUUUGAACUAGGUCAUUCCUGUUGCACUGGGCCGAACCACUGAUUCGUUCCUCAUCCUCUUCUUUGGGCUGUUAUCUUCCUUCGUCGAAUCGAAGCGUCCUUAGCACAGCCGCUUCUUCCACUGUCGUUUCUCCUUCCUUCGUCAUCAUUUUCGGUGUUGGAAUCGAAGCAUCCUCCAAACAGAAUUUAGGGGACAAUUUAGGGUACAAUGGAUCCAUCUCCUCACCGCGGCUACUUCUAUUAUCGUUUUCUCUUACUUUGUCGCCAUUUCCAGUGCUAGAUUAAUCUGCCAUGGGUGAAGUGUUUUGCAGCGCCCUUUCUUAUACCUUCAUGACUCUCUAUUCGGCUAUAUAAUAACACCUAUAUAUAACAUCCAUUUUUCCUACAUCUGAUAACCUAAUCCUUUUUCGCCCAUAAGUCAUGAAGUUUUUCUAAUAUUUUUCUUUUUCAAUUUUAUCUGCCGUAAUCCUAUUUCGCAUUAACUAUUCUUUUUCUUUUUAAUUAACGCAAUUUUCUUUUUUCAGGAAAGUGACGACGAUUUAGAAUGGUUAUUCUACAUUUGUUUGUCGUUGUUGUAAUAACCCGAACUUCUCCAAUUAUGAAAUUUUGCUGGGAACUAGCUAAAAAAGCUAUUAAAUAAGUUCCAGCAAAGUUUGGAGAGCAUUCGAGUAUUUUCGGUGCAAAUUAGACUUGAAAACGAACUCGAAAAGCUGAAAUAUGCAUAAGUUGUAGAAUUUGUACUGGGUACCGAUACUGGAAAACUGGGUACCGGUAUGCAGCGUAAAAAUGAGAAAUAUUGCUCUCGGGUUUUGAGGUAUUGGAACGGGGUACCGGUACUAGACUGGCCGGGUACCGGUACGCGAGCCCGAGUACCGGUACUCAGCCUCCCAAAACGCUGUUUUUGAGAGGUAAAAGUGUAAUUUCAAUUAGGGGCUUAUAUAAGGGGGCCCCCAGCCCCUUCCUCUGCAAAACGCACACACACACACAGGGAGAGACAGUGAGGGAGUGGGAGGUGCUCAUCUCCCUCUCGUUCUUCUUCUCCUUCUUUGACUUGGAGAUUGCGGUGGAGAUCGAGUUCGGAGAGCUUGGAGGAGCAGUAGAUCGAGCUCUCGGGCGCUUGGUGGCUUGGAAUGCCUUCGACUCGAGGUUCGUAAAUGGGUUGAAAGUUUAGGGUUUGGAUUAAAUCCCUAGAAAUGAGGUUCUAGUGAACCCUAGAUGAUUCUAAACUAGUAUUAUCAUGAUUUCUCAAUGUGUUUUGGGUAUUUUGGGGAAAUGGUAAACCUAGGGUUUGGAUUUGGAGGUUUUGGGGUUUUAGGGUUUUGAACCAAGUUGAUCUCCUAAUUCUUUAAUUGAAGGAUAAAAGAGAGCCCCAGAUAACUCUAGGUUGGAAAUCGGUGAUCGUUCGGUGGUCGAUUUCGAGUUCGAGCCGAACCGGGUGACGUUGGCCGCGGGAGUCUGAUUGCAAGUGUCUACAAACAAUCGAAAAGUGUUGUAAGGUGGGGUGUGCUUCACCUAAGUGAUUAAGUCACUUCCAUGCCAAAGUGAAGUAUGGUUUAUUGUUGAUGCAUGUAUAUUAUGGUAGGUUGUAUAUGAUAAUAUGAAUGCAUGAAUCAUAUUAUACUAGUUGAUAUUACCUACCACUGGAUGAUGAUAUAGGCAUGUGCAUGAGAUGCUAGAUGAUAUAUGCAUGUGUGCAUGUUGACAUAUGGUGAGAGGAUGAUGAUAUAAGCAUGUGCCAUGAGAUGCUAGAUGAUAUAUGCAUGUGUGAUGUGACAUAUGGUGAGAAUAUGCUAGAUUCAUAUGAAUGUAAACUUGAGUCGAUAAACUUUAGUUGAUUAGAGAACUCGACAAUUGAAAAACAAGUAAAUGUAAAUUAUAAGUCCUAGGUGUGGACAACUAGGAUAACAAGUAGAUUGAAUAGCAUUGAACCUAGUGUCAAUGAACAUAUGUGUAAUAACUGAGAGUUUUUAUUUAUUGAUUAAACCCUUUUUGUUUGACGAUGUUCUUGUGUGUAAUAUAAUUAUAAAGUGUACUCGUCAAAUUUCAGGAGAAAACGAGUUAAAACGGAGAAGUUACGCGACCGGAAGUUUGACUUAAGUGAAUAGUAACUCCGGUUUUCGGGAGAGGCGCGGAGUAAGUGGACUUUCGACGCGUAUCGGACUCGAAUACAGCCUUCCAAUAGCUCGUUUCAACCGCUCGACUAUCCUGGACCCAAUGGCACUGACGGAAUUGGAAUUGGCUGCACGGAUUUCGAGAAAAAGGGGUUUAAUGGUUUUACAUAUAGUUUUCUAUAUGUGUUUUUGGUGGAACCUAGGAGGGAUGUUUUGUCGCAAAUCGGUAACCUUUUCGGCGCGAAACGAAAUUGCUAGAUUCGAUGCCUCUGUCGUGCUGAUGGCGCUGGUGUGAUCCGAUCGGAAAUCCGACGGACGAUCUUCGGAAUCGCGAAAGUCCGCGAAGGGCUGAUUUGAGUAAUCGGAUUAUUCGCGAAAAGACCCGAUAUUUUAUCGUCGGAUUUGCGAGUUUUCGAACUCGGAGGGACUGUCAUGCAUAAAGCACUCGCUGGCAGGGAGCUGGGUUUAAACCGUUCAGCCUUGAAGGGGGUUUUCCGCAAAGUCGCAGCACCUAUAUAUAGGUUGGCCUAGGGUUUCUUGAGCUAACCCUAACCCUAGAACCCCCCCAGCUGACCCCAGCCGCCCCUGUCACCCCAGCACCUCCCUGGCCUGCCCGUGCUCACGUUCCGGCCGCCGCCGAGCAGCCCCGGCCGCCGAAAACCGCCUGCAGCCAGCCUUCCUCCUCUCCUCGGCCACCUCCCUCAUCCAUCUAGACCGAGGGCAUGUGGGAGGGUCUCCACCGCCUCUGGAAGUGAGCCCCGGCCUCCUUCCACCUCAGGCGUGCCUCUCCCCUAGCUCCGGCCAUCCCCCGACGUCGCCGGAGCCGCCGGAGAAAGCUGCGGCCAGCCCUGGUCAGCCCAGACCGAGCCAGGCCGAGCCGGGAUUGCGGGCGCUGCCACCCCUCUUCUUCGGCCGUGGCGCCUUCCAUCUGGCUCCGUUGACAUCCGGCGUGCAUCCCCCGCCGUCCCUGCACGCCGCAGGCCGCCGCUGAGCUUCCCCGCCGCCGCCCAGUUUUUGGUGCGGGCCGACCUUGGAGCCCGCCGCCCCCGGGCGCCGCCGUUGCCCUCCGAGGUGAGCAUCACCCUCUCCUCGGUCUCCGGCACCGGAUCAUUGCCGCCCCGACCUCCCCCGGUCGCCGCCUCGCCGCCGGCAAGCUCCAACCCGAGAGGAAGUCGGCGGGCCCGAUCUCCGCCGCCGCGCCACCGGCUGCUGCCCGCCGCCGGCCAGCACCUCCCCCGGACCUCCCCGACCUUCUGCUCCCAUCAUCGGCUGGAGCGCCCGCCGCCCGAUCGCCGGCGGCCAUCCCUAGCUCCCACUGCUCCGGUGAGUAGCCAUUUAUAGUUCCAGCACUACAGUUUUGUGUUCCGGCCACUUUUUCGGUGAUCCGAUGACUCCCUGGCACCUCGGGAGGUGAGCACGAUGAUCGUGGGCUCGUGCUGAACACGAUGCUCACCUCCAUUUAGGUUAACGGUGCCCUGGUUAGUGAGUAAUGUGCGAUCUUCGCGCUGUGCGCACUGUUUCGCUGAGGUUCGCGUCGCUCGUGCGCGCGUGGUUGCUGCCGGCAGUGCUCCGAAAGGUGAGCACAGCCUCCGGCAUGCUGAAACCUUGCAGCAAGUGCGAUGGCAACCUCCGUAGAUCCCUGGUUUGCUGGUACGACCCGUUAGAGCCAUGAAAUCACAUAAAAUAAUGUGAUUUCAUGGGCCAGUAGGGAUCCUUUUGCGUUUCGCUUCGUUGUGGCUGCUGUUGGCAGCAGGUUAAGGCUUAAGGUAACCUCUGGACUGAUCGUCCAAGGCCCCAAGCCCUUGCGGAAAUCUAUCUGUCAUUUUCGGAGCGUUUUCGGUGAAAUCCGCCGAUAGAACGCGCGUUCGACUCGGAAUUCAUCCGACGGUGCCUCGUGGUUGAUUGUAGCGUCGCUGAGCCUUGUUGGCUGGUCACCCACGUCUUCUCGAGGGUUCGGAAACGACGGGUGAGCGACGGUGGAGUUUCGGUACGGUUUCCGGGAUUUUCGGCUGGUUCGGUAGUUGCGUUUGAGAAACCGAUUUCCGAGGGGUUAUGAUUUUGGGAUUUGUGUGAGAAUGGUCGUGUUAUUGUGUUUGUGGGUUAGACUCUAACCCGGUGGACCCCUCGUAGGUCCGGUCGCUUCGUCUCCGCCUUCGCGAGACCGUUUCAGCUUUAUACAGGUGGGUACUUCGAUCCGACGUCGGUACAGUGGUGCACGCUCGGUGAUAUUUCUUCUAUCCCUGUUCUUCUGUUGCUAUUUUCGUAUUAUAUAUUGAGCUUGCAUCCCCGUUGUUUCUAUUAUACUCUACUCAUAUGUUUCUAUGCUUAGUAUCAUGUGUAGGAGUAGAGUAGUUUAUCCAUAUGUGAUACCGGUGACCUGACUAGUCGGUUCUCGUACUUUAUUUCGGUGACCUGAUUGGUCGGUUCUCGUACUUCGUUUCGGUGACCUGAUUGGUCGGUUCUCGUACUUCGUUUCGGUGACCUGAUUGGUCGGUUCUCGUACUUCGUUUCGGUGAUCUAGUUGAUCGGUGCUUUUAUCUUAUAUCUGUUGACCUGGUUGGUCGGUUGUUGCAUUAUGUAUUGGGUUGGUCUGUUUCUUGACUUCUGUCGUUUGAUGACCUUUGAGGUCGGUGUACCCUGAGGGGUAGGAUUGUCGGCCAUGGCCGACGGUAGUUCUAGAUUAUAUACUCAGAUGACUUGUUGAUCGAUUCUUGCAUAUAUACAGUAGUUGACCUAUUGAUCAGUAUCUACAUACUUUUGGUAGGAUGUUGAGUUGUUCCAUCCCAGUUGACUUGAUUAGUCAGUACUUACAUACAGUUGAGAGGAUGUAGAGUCGUUCCAUCCUAGUUGACUUGAGUGGUCGGUUCUUGUGCUUCUUUAUAGUUUGAUGACCUAUUGGUCGGCUUGCCCCGAGGGGCGGUGAUUGUCGGCUGGUUGCCGACAUUUGGCUAUUGAUCAUAUCCGCAUUGAUCGCCACAGCUCGAGUGCAUUUCACGUACACCAGCGGGUUGAUCCCCCGUAAGAGGGUGUUCUUUUCCGGAAAAGUGGUCGUACAUCCGACCCGUGAGCCCAGCGGUGUUCUCUUUGUGCUAGGGUUACAUGCCAGGUGUGAGCAGGUAGUGGCUUUUGCCUGAGGUCCUUAGACCGACACGGCGGUUUAGAUUGGGUACUUUUGGACUUCUCGUCCGGUUGACGCAUAUAGCUAUAGUAGCGGUUGUUGCAUAUAUACUUCUAGUUCUUUCUUUACAGUUGUCUUGCUACUAUAGUUUUGAUAUCCUUGUAUGCUUGCAGUUGUACAUUACAGUAGCGGUAGUUGUGUUUUCAUAUAUAUAUCUCAUUCGUUCAUUAUCGUUGCUACUGUAUUUUACUUACCCAUACUGUUGUUUAUCUCUUCCUGAUCCGGUGAGUACUCCUCGCCUUCUUCGGCUUGCGGUACCCACUGGGAGGGGAGACAUGUUUACAUGUUCUCACCUCCCCCACUAUUUUUCAGGUAUUGCAGACGUUGAGUUUUGGGACGAGCCGUGAGGUACGUUCGUAGCGGUCGAUAGAGCUUCCGACCCAGAUUAUCGGUUUAGUUUUAUCCCUAAUGUUCUGUUGUUAUAGUUUAGUCAGUUUAUAUGGUUCAGUAUUUUUAUUACAUUGGAAUAUGUGGACUUUCAUGAAUGUAAUAAAAGAAUUUCUGGAUUUGGUAAAAUAAAAGGUUUUCUACCCCUCGUGGUAGCUUUUAUAAAAGAUAAAAGUUUUCGCGUAUGGAACAGUUUUUAAAAGGUUUUUCGUGGACUUUUGUUUAAACAUCGAAUGUAAAACUACGGUGUGAAUGGUAAAUGUAUGAACGUAUAGCUAUCUGUAUAUUCAUUUAGUUGUGGUUGUAUACUGUUUGUACUUUUGUACUUGUGCGACGCCGUGCAAAUACAGGGGAGACUCUGUCCGUGUGAACA